GUAACAAGGUUUCCGUAGGUGAACCUGCGGAAGGAUCAUUAAUGAAUACAGAUGCCUGUCGAGCUUGCUCACGGGUUUUCUAUCAUAUCCAUAACACCUGUGCACUUGUUGGAUGUUCUAAAGACGUAGGCUUAAAGCUGAAGUCAAUAGUCAUCCACUUACACUAAACAAUAAUGUAACAAAUGUAGUCUUAUUAUAACAUAAUAAAACUUUCAACAACGGAUCUCUUGGCUCUCGCAUCGAUGAAGAACGCAGCGAAAUGCGAUAAGUAAUGUGAAUUGCAGAAUUCAGUGAAUCAUCGAAUCUUUGAACGCACCUUGCGCUCCUUGGUAUUCCGAGGAGCAUGCCUGUUUGAGUGUCAUGAAAACCCUCAACCUUAGAUUGGUUAUUUGACCUUUCUUUGGCUUGGAUUUGGACGUUUGCCGAUGUCAAGUCGGCUCGUCUUAAAAGUAAUAGCUGGAUCUGUCUCGCGACAUGGUUUGACUUGGCGUAAUAAGUAUUUCGCUAAGGACAUCUUCGGAUGGCCCUGUUGCAGGACUAAAGACCGCUUUCUAAUCCAUUGAUCUUCGGAUUAAUAUUCAUAACAUCUGGCCUCAAU
rnacentral:rRNA from 1 species